rnacentral:rRNA from 1 species
UAGUCGAGAGGUCCUGCGCCGAAAAUGUCCGGGGCUAAAACACGACACCGAAGCUUAGGAAUACAUGCAAAUGUAUUGGUAGAGGAGCAAUCUUAACGGGAAGAAGCAGUACUGUAAGGUGCUGUGGACUGUUAAGAAGAGAGAAUGCCGGAAUGAGUAGCGAGAUGGAGGUGGGAAUCCUCCAGGCCGAAUAUCCAAGGUUUCCAGGGUAAAGCUGAUCUGCCCUGGGGAAGUCGGGGCCUAAGGCGAGGUCGAAAGACGUAGCUGAUGGACAACAGGUUGAUAUUCCUGUACUAUCAUAUGACAGAACUGUGGGGACGCAGAAAGAGAGCCUGAGCCGGGAAAGGGAAAACCGGUGCAAGCGGGGUAGGAGUCGUGCAGGCAAAUCCGCACGGCAAUCCGAAGACGUGAUGCGGAGCGAACUAAAGUAGCGAAGCAGGUGAGCUGGCUGCCAAGAAAAGCCGCUAUUGUUCAUAUGAUACCCGUACCGUAAACCGACACAGGUGGAUGAGGAGAGAAUCCUAAGGCCGGCGGGAGAAGCAUUGUUAAGGAACUCGGCAAAAUGACCCUGUAACUUCGGGAUAAAGGGUGCCUGCGCAAGCAGGCCGCAGAGAAUAGGCUCAAGCAACUGUUUAGCAAAAACACAGGUCUAUGCGAAACCGAAAGGUGAGGUAUAUGGGCUGACGCCUGCCCGGUGCUGGAAGGUUAAGAGGAGAGGUUAGCGCAAGCGAAGCUUUGAAUUUAAGCCCCAGUAAACGGCGGCCGUAACUAUAACGGUCCUAAGGUAGCGAAAUUCCUUGUCGGGUAAGUUCCGACCCGCACGAAAGGCGUAAUGAUUUGAGCGCUGUCUCGACAAUGCACCCGGUGAAAUUGAAAUACCAGUGAAGAUGCUGGUUACCUGCGCCAGGACGGAAAGACCCCAUGGAGCUUUACUCUAGCUUGAUACUGGGAUUCGGUACUGCAUGUACAGGAUAGGUGGGAGACGAAGAGGACAGGACGCCAGUCUUGUCGGAGUCGCUGUUGGGAUACCACCCUUGUGGUACUGGAUUUCUAACCAACCUCCGUGACCCGGAGGUGGGACAAUGUCAGGUGGGGAGUUUGACUGGGGCGGUCGCCUCCGAAAGGGUAUCGGAGGCGCUCAAAGGUUCCCUCAGAAUGGUUGGAAACCAUUCGAAGAGUGCAAAGGCAGAAGGGAGCUUGACUGCGACACCGACGGGUGGAGCAGGUAGGAAACUAGGACUUAGUGAUCCGGUGGUAUGAAAGUGGGAUUGCCAUCGCUCAACGGAUAAAAGCUACCCUGGGGAUAACAGGCUU